rnacentral:misc_RNA from 1 species
AGCGAUGUGUAGGAGAGCUAG